CAGGAUGAACGCUAGCUACAGGCUUAACACAUGCAAGUCGAGGGGCAUCAUGGAGUUGCUUGCAAACUCUGAUGGCGACCGGCGCACGGGUGAGUAACGCGUAUCCAACCUUCCCUAUAGUAGAGGAUAGCCCGGCGAAAGUCGGAUUAAUACUCUAUGUUUUCCGUUGCAGACAUCUAAGAUGGAACAAAGGCUUGCCGCUAUAGGAUGGGGAUGCGUCUGAUUAGGUAGUCGGCGGGGUAACGGCCCACCGAGCCAUCGAUCAGUAGGGGUUCUGAGAGGAAGGUCCCCCACAUUGGAACUGAGACACGGUCCAAACUCCUACGGGAGGCAGCAGUGAGGAAUAUUGGUCAAUGGGCGAGAGCCUGAACCAGCCAAGUAGCGUGCAAGGAUGACGGCCCUAUGGGUUGUAAACUGCUUUUAUGCGGGGAUAAAGUUCACUACGUGUAGUGUUUUGUAGGUACCGCAUGAAUAAGGACCGGCUAAUUCCGUGCCAGCAGCUGC
rnacentral:rRNA from 1 species